rnacentral:rRNA from 1 species
UACAGGGGGGGCAAGCGUUGUUCGGAAUUACUGGGCGUAAAGGGCUCGUAGGCGGCCAACUAAGUCAGACGUGAAAUCCCUCGGCUUAACCGGGGAACUGCGUCUGAUACUGGAUGGCUAGAGUGUGGGAGAGGGAUGCGGAAUUCCAGGUGUAGCGGUGAAAUGCGUAGAUAUCUGGAGGAACACCGGUGGCGAAGGCGGCAUCCUGGACCACGACUGACGCUGAGUGAGCGAAAGCUAGGGGAGCAAACGGG